UACGUAGGGGGCAAGCGUUGUCCGGAAUCAUUGGGCGUAAAGAGCGUGUAGGCGGCCCGAUAAGUCCGCUGUGAAAGUCCAGGGCUCAACCCUGGAAUGCCGGUGGAUACUGGCAAGCUAGAGUGCGGUAGAGGGUAGUGGAAUUCCGGUGUAGCGGUGAAAUGCGUAGAGAUCGGGAGGAACACCAGUGGCGAAGGCGGCUACCUGGACCAGCACGUA
rnacentral:rRNA from 1 species